AAUAGAUACCCGGGUAGUCCACGCCCUAAACGAUGCUCACUAGGUGUUGGGGAAGCGAUUCCUUGGUACCGUAGCUAACGCGUGAAGUGAGCCGCCUGGGGAGUACGGCCGCAAGGUUAAAACUCAAAGGAAUUGACGGGGAUCCGCACAAGCGGUGGAUGAUGUGGAUUAAUUCGAUGCAACGCGAACAACCUUACCUACCCUUGACAUGUCCGGAAGCCUGCUGAAAGGCGGGGGUGCUCGAAAGAGAACCGGAACACAGGUGCUGCAUGGCUGUCGUCAGCUCGUGUCGUGAGAUGUUGGGUUAAGUCCCGCAACGAGCGCAACCCUUGUCCCUAGUUGCUACGCAAGGGCACUCUAGGGAGACUGCCGGUGACAAACCGGAGGAAGGUGGGGAUGACGUCAAGUCCUCAUGGCCCUUAUGGGUAGGGCUUCACACGUCAUACAAUGGACGGUACAGAGGGUUGCCAACCCGCGAGGGGGAGCCAAUCCCAGAAAGCCGUUCGUAGUCCGGAUCGCAGUCUGCAACUCGACUGCGUG
rnacentral:rRNA from 1 species